rnacentral:rRNA from 1 species
GGAUGAACGCUGACAGAAUGCUUAACACAUGCAAGUCGAUGGGGAAGUGGUGCUUGCACCAUGGUAACCAUGGCGGACGGGUGAGUAACACGUAAGGAACUUACCUGCGGGACCGGGAUAACAGCAGGAAACUGCUGACAAGACCGGAUAAGGUCAUUAAGCUGCAUAGCUUAGUGAUGAAAGGAGACGCCUGCGGAGAGCCUUGCGUCCUAUUAGCUAGUUGGAGGGGUAACGGCCCACCAAGGCGAAGAUAGGUAGCCGGCCUGAGAGGGUGGACGGCCACAAGGGGACUGAGAUACGGCCCUUACUCCUACGGGAGGCAGCAGUGGGGAAUAUUGGACAAUGGGGGCAACCCUGAUCCAGCAAUUCUGUGUGCACGAAGACGGUUUUCGGAGUGUAAAGUGCUUUCAGCAGGGAAGAAGGAAGUGACGGUACCUGCAGAAGAAGCGACGGCUAAAUACGUG